UCCCUUGAGGCCGUCUAUGCAAAAGAAUACGCUCAAGGAAGCUCGCUCCGCUCCGGCUCGCUGGACUCGAUUCAAACUUCAGUUUUCUGGAAUAUAUUUUUGUUGACAGUUUAGGUGGGAAAAGAGAAAGUUAAUCAACGAUACGUCAUAUUGUGCAGUUUUGAUGCGGAACCAAAACCAAGUACCGCCCAGCGUCUCCCCGCCUACAUUAUUUGCAUAGUAGGCUACAGCCCAUUGAAGAGCCAUCUCGAUUCAAGUCAUUCCGCGAGAACCGGCUACGGCAACCCAGCACCGCGCAGACUGUCCGCGACGAGUGGCAAAUUCGAUAACAACACCCCGUUAGAUAUUCUCAGGACACGAAGCCCAGCUCACGGAGUCAUUGUCAGAACAGAUCAUUCAGAAAACAUACACACCAACGCUAAACUGCACACUAUGAUAGGGCCGUUCCUUGUCUAUACUGUGCUCCUGUUGUUAGGCUCUGUGGAAGCCGGUAUUUCAUCGUACGGUAUACCCUUAGGAGAUACCACAAAAACUGGGACCUAACCCAUUUAAAAUCUGUCCACUUACAUGUGUGUGACCUGAACCUAAUUCCAAAUGGGCCUACUGGAUUAGACAGUUCAUCAGCACAGGAAGAGGACCAUCAAAUAGCGUACAGUUUUCCCCAACAACAGCAACACAGAGGGCAUGUGGAACCGCAGAACCGUCAGCCAGCAAUGUUGGCCCUACGUCAUCACAAUCACCAAGAACCACUGGGAAUUUUCAAAUUCCAUGGGACAGAUUUCCUCCAGAACUUACAAAAGCCAUCUCGGAGAAAACGCGCCCACGUCCAGCAUUAACCCUUUAACUGUCACUCAUUGAAAUAGGUGAUGAAAAAAUUAUUUAACCAUAAAUACCUAUUACUUGAGCACCAAAUAACAAUGUCUAACCGUUUUUUUCAUAACUUGACCCCUGUUUUUAGAAAUUAUAGGCCUCUACCGUACGGUUGAGAUGUCAGUUUAUUGUAAAAGAUGCUAUUCACAAAUUGCUAUAUUUCUGAACAUUUUUCCUGAAACACAAUCACUUUAAUCUCUCUUUAAAACCUUAAAACAGUU